AGUGGCGACGGGUGAGUAACGCGUGGGUAACCUGCCUCAUACAGGGGGAUAACAGUUGGAAACGACUGCUAAGACCGCAUAACCCGCUAGUGUCGCAUGACACGGACGGAAAAUAUUUAUAGGUAUGAGAUGGGCCCGCGUCUGAUUAGCUAGUUGGUAAGGUAACGGCUUACCAAGGCGACGAUCAGUAGCCGACUUGAGAGAGUGAUCGGCCACAUUGGGACUGAGACACGGCCCAAACUCCUACGGGAGGCAGCAGUGGGGAAUAUUGGACAAUGGGGGAAACCCUGAUCCAGCCGACGCCGCGUGAGUGAAGAAGUAUUUCGGUAUGUAAAGCUCUAUCAGCAGGGAAGAUAAUGACAGUACCUGACUAAGAAGCCCCGGCUAACUACGUGCCAGCCGCCGC
rnacentral:rRNA from 1 species